UUAAUUGAAACCAAAAAGAGGUAUAUUAUUGUUAAUAAUAUUAAUGAAAUUAAUUUCCAAUUAAA
rnacentral:tRNA from 1 species